rnacentral:lncRNA from 1 species
GGCCUUUCAUCUCAGAAAUUUGUGAGUAAUGAAAAGGGGAAAGCAACUUAAAGAAAAUAGCAACCAAAAGGUUGGGGACAGUUUAAUAUCCACUGAAGUCAGUGGAAUUUCAUCACCAAGGUAUUGUGGGUGUGGGAUACGAGCAAGAAUUUGUACAUCGUCAAAGGGCAACAAUGUAAGGAGGAAGUUUUAUGGUUGUUCAAAUUAUGGUGUUAGUUCUUGUAUUUACUCUUAUAUAAAAUUUUAAAUUUUUACAUACAAUCGUGGUAAAUUGUUAGUUUAAUUUCCUACAGAUACAAACAUUUGUGGCUUUUUUCAAUGGAUUGACUCCAUCCACAUGUUAGAAGAUGCUGAGAAUUCUUCGGGUCUAUUAAAUUUGAGGAGAAUUGAAAUUGACCUAUAGAUGAUGAAGGAGAAAGCUCAUGACUUGGAAGUGCAAGUAUCGAAAAUGGAAAAAAAGAAAGUCAAAUUGAAGAAUGAUUUGAAGUGUUUAAAAGAAGAAAUAAGAAAUUUACAAACUAGGGAGAAGUGGUUGAUACUUGUAAUUGGGGUGUUUUUUGUUUUGUGUUUGAGUAUGUUAAAAACUCUGUUUUAAUAAUUUGUGUAAUUGGAGAAAGCUCUGUUUUAGUUGUUUUGAUGUUUGGAAAAUGAAUGGACCUUUGUAUGAAAUUAUGGUUUUACUUGUGAUUUGAGUAAAAG